GAUGAACGCUGGCGGCGUGCCUAAUACAUGCAAGUCGAGCGAAUGGAUUAAGAGCUUGCUCUUAUGAAGUUAGCGGCGGACGGGUGAGUAACACGUGGGUAACCUGCCCAUAAGACUGGGAUAACUCCGGGAAACCGGGGCUAAUACCGGAUAACAUUUUGAACCGCAUGGUUCGAAAUUGAAAGGCGGCUUCGGCUGGCACUGAUGGAUGGACCCGCGUCGCAUUAGCUAGUUGGUGAGGUAACGGCUCACCAAGGCAACGAUGCGUAGCCGACCUGAGAGGGUGAUCGGCCACACUGGGACUGAGACACGGCCCAGACUCCUACGGGAGGCAGCAGUAGGGAAUCUUCCGCAAUGGACGAAAGUCUGACGGAGCAACGCCGCGUGAGUGAUGAAGGCUUUCGGGUCGUAAAACUCUGUUGUUAGGGAAGAACAAGUGCUAGUUGAAUAAGCUGGCACCUUGACGGUACCUAACCAGAAAGCCACGGCUAACUACGUGCCAGCAGCCGCCGUAA
rnacentral:rRNA from 1 species